UACAGAGGGUGCAAGCGUUAAUCGGAAUUACUGGGCGUAAAGCGCGCGUAGGUGGUUCAGUAAGUUGGAAGUGAAAUCCCCGGGCUCAACCUGGGAACUGCUUUCAAAACUGCUGAGCUAGAGUACGGUAGAGGGUAGUGGAAUUUCCUGUGUAGCGGUGAAAUGCGUAGAUAUAGGAAGGAACACCAGUGGCGAAGGCGACUACCUGGACUGAUACUGACACUGAGGUGCGAAAGCGUGGGGAGCAAACAGG
rnacentral:rRNA from 1 species